rnacentral:rRNA from 1 species
UACGUAGGGUGCGAGCGUUGUUCGGAAUUACUGGGCGUAAAGCGCGUGUAGGCGGCCCUGCAAGUCGGAUGUGAAAUCCCACGGCUCAACCGUGGAAGUGCAUUCGAAACUGCAGGGCUAGAGUCCUGGAGAGGAAGGUGGAAUGCUUGGUGUAGAGGUGAAAUUCGUAGAUAUCAAGCGGAACACCGGUGGCGAAGGCGGCCUUCUGGACAGUGACUGACGCUGAGACGCGAAAGCGUGGGGAGCAAACAGG